rnacentral:rRNA from 1 species
CAGUCGCCACGGUAAUACAGAGGGUGCGAGCGUUAAUCGGAUUUACUGGGCGUAAAGCGUGCGUAGGCGGCUUCUUAAGUCGGAUGUGAAAUCCCUGAGCUUAACUUAGGAAUUGCAUUCGAUACUGGGAAGCUAGAGUAUGUGAGAGGAUGGUAGAAUUCCAGGUGUAGCGGUGAAAUGCGUAGAGAUCUGGAGGAAUACCGAUGGCGAAGGCAGCCAUCUGGCCUAAUACUGACGCUGAGGUACGAAAGCAUGGGGAGCAAACAGGAUUAGAUACCCCAGUAGUCCCUGUCUCUUAUAC